UCAGCCUCAGUCAACAAUCAGCAUCAAGCGCAACCUCCAGUUCAUGUUCCACAGAAAGGCAAGGGGAGUGGGAUGAAAGAAAAUGGAUUGUGAACGAGUCUAGCCUCAUGACACUGUUUAGAACAUGCCAUACAUGUGCCGUACCCAUCACUGAUAAAUCAUGGCAGGUGGGCAUCAUGUCCUGAUACAAGAGGAAUGGCACAGAAUAACCUGCUUGUUUCUGCUGCUAUGCUUCUGCUACUUUCACUGAAGUACACGACUGGGCCAGAAUACUAAACUUGCAACUCUUGCAGAAAUCGCAGUACUACUCCAUCCAAUCACACUACCUUAUUCCAGUAGUACACUUUGCAUACAGGAAUCAUCAUGAGAAUCUCAUCAAGCGCCUUAUGAGACAAAAGGCUGAAGGCGAGUCAAUAGAGCUGUGUGGAGAUGCAAGGUCUGACUCACCAGGCUACAGCUGCAAGUAUUCCACCUAUUCGUUUCAGCUUCUAUCCACUAAUGAGAUCAUCCACUUUGAACUACUACAGGUAACGGAAGCUAGCAGUUCAGUUGCCAUGGAGUCCCAAGGCUGUAGGAGAGGCCUCAACCAUCUAAUUUUUAACGAAGGACUAGACAUAGAUCUCAUCACUACAGAUCGGGCCCCAUCAGUUCGGAAAAUAAUGAGGGAGGAAUUCCAUAUGAUUCAUCACG